UUUAGCCUUCGGGCGAAGAUUCUAGUGGCGAACGGGUGCGUAACACGUGAGAAUCUGCCUUUAGGAAAAGGAUAACUACUAGAAAUAGUAGCUAAUACUUUAUAUGCCUUAGGGUGAAAGAAGCAAUUCGCCUAAAGAGGAGCUCGCGUCUGAUUAGCUAGUUGGUAGGGUAAGAGCCUACCAAGGCGACGAUCAGUAGCUGGUUUGAGAGGAUGAUCAGCCACAUUGGAACUGAGACACGGUCCAGACUCCUACGGGAGGCAGCAGUAAGGAAUAUUCUACAAUGGGCGAAAGCCUGAUAGAGCAAUACCGCGUGAGGGACGAAUGCCUACGGGUUGUAAACCUCUUUUCUCAAGGAGGAAGAACUGACGUUACUUGAGGAAUAAGCAUCGGCUAACCCUGUGCCAGCAGCCGCGGUAAUACAGGGGAUGCAAGUUUUAUUCGGAAUUAUUGGGCGUAAAGCGUCUGCAGGUUGACAUAAAAGUCUUUUGUUAAAUAUCAGAGCUCAACUCGGAAUCUGCAAAAGAUACUAUAUGUCUUGAGUAUGGUAGAGGUAAGGGGAAUUUCCAGUGGAGCGGUGAAAUGCGUAGAUAUUGGAAAGAACACCGAUAGCGAAGGCACCUUACUGGGCCAUUACUGACACUCAGAGACGAAAGCUAGGGGAGCAAACGGGAUUAGAUACCCCGGUAGUCCUAGCCGUAAACGAUGGAUACUAGAUGUUGUAUACUUUAU
rnacentral:rRNA from 1 species